AUGACUAUUCAUCUUCAGAAAGAGACUUCUUCCUCGCUUCUAUAUCACACAAAACCGCACUGUCAAUUGACUCGUCUCCAAUUCUGUUUCAAAUCAUCUCCUCUCAUCCUCUCUCCAAUUGAAUGGUGGAUUCCUCUUCAUCCUUUUUCUCCGAAGGUCUCCGGAAAAAUACGCCCCCGCGAUUAUUCCCUAUUUGUCCUUGUAUCCAUCACAAACCAUCAAUAUUUUAACAUAUCUCUUCUUCAUCGAAAUCAAACGGAAGGUCUUCAAAUUGUUCCAGAUCGAACACCAACGAUGAAGUUCCGAUUUCACUAUUACUCAUCGUUGCUUUCAGAUUUGCAUAAAAUAAUACAUAAAAAGAGCACAUCCUCAUCCUUAUGUUCUUCAUAA